rnacentral:rRNA from 1 species
CCUACGGGUGGCAGCAGUGAGGAAUAUUGGUCAAUGGACGAGAGUCUGAACCAGCCAUGUAGCGUGAAGGAUGACGGCCCUAUGAGUUGUAAACUGCUUUUAUAUGGGGAUAAAACAGGGUAUGUAUACCGUGUUGUAUGUACCAUAUGAAUAAGGAUCGGCUAACUCCGUGCCAGCAGCCGCGGUAAUACGGAGGAUUCGAGCGUUAUCCGGAUUUAUUGGGUUUAAAGGGAGCGUAGGUGGAUUGUUAAGUCAGUUGUGAAAGUUUGCGGCUCAACCGUAACAUUGCAUUUGAUACUGGCAGUCUUGAGUAUAGUAGAGGUAGGCGGAAUGCGUGGUGUAGCGGUGAAAUGCUUAGAUAUCACGCAGAACACCGAUUGCGAAGGCAGCUCACUGAACUGCAACUGACACUGAUGCUCGAAAGUGUGGGUAUCAAACAGGAUUAGAUACCCCUGUAGUC